ACGCUCGACACCUACGGGAGACAGCAGUGGGGGAUAUUGCACAAUGGGGGAAACCCUGAUGCAGCGACGCCGCGUGGAGGAAGAAGGUUUUCGGAUUGUAAACUCCUGUCGUUAGGGACGAAUUCUGACGGUACCUAACAAGAAAGCACCGGCUAACUACGUGCCGGCAGCCGCGGUAAUCUGAGCGGGCUGGCAAGGC
rnacentral:rRNA from 1 species